UACGUAGGGGGCAAGCGUUGUCCGGAAUCAUUGGGCGUAAAGCGCGUGUAGGCGGCCCGGUAAGUCCGCUGUGAAAGUCGGGGGCUCAACCCUCGAAUGCCGGUGGAUACUGUCGGGCUCGAGUCCGGAAGAGGAGUGUGGAAUUCCUGGUGUAGCGGUGAAAUGCGCAGAUAUCAGGAGGAACACCUGCGGCGAAGGCGGGUUGCUGGGCUGACACUGACGCUGAUGCGCGAAAGCCAGGGGAGCGAACGGG
rnacentral:rRNA from 1 species